AAUGAACGUUGGCGGCGUGGAUUAGGCAUGCAAGUCGUGCGGAAGUGGCCCGCAAGGGUUACUUUAGCGGCGAAAGGGAGAGUAAUACGUAGGUACCUACCCCUGGAACCGGGAUAGCUGCGGGAAACUGCAGGUAAUACCGGAUAACGUCUCCGGACCAAAGGUGUGAUUCCGUCCGGGGAGGGGCCUGCGUCCUAUUAGCUAGUUGGUGAGGUGACGGCUCACCAAGGCAAAGAAGGGUACGGGGUAUGAGAGUAUGCCCCCGCUCACUGGGACUGAGACACUGCCCAGACACCUACGGGUGGCUGCAGUCGAGGAUCUUCGGCAAUGGGCGCAAGCCUGACCGAGCGACGCCGCGUGUGGGAUGAAGGCCCUCGGGUUGUAAACCACUGUCAGAGGGGAUGAAAUGCCAUGGGGUUCUCUUCAUGGUUUGACAUAUCCUCAGAGGAAGGACGGGCUAAGUUCGUGCCAGCAGCCGCCGUAAAAC
rnacentral:rRNA from 1 species